rnacentral:rRNA from 1 species
UACGUAGGGUGCAAGCGUUAAUCGGAAUUACUGGGCGUAAAGCGUGCGCAGGCGGUUAUAUAAGACAGAUGUGAAAUCCCCGGGCUCAACCUGGGAACUGCAUUUGUGACUGUAUAGCUAGAGUACGGUAGAGGGGGAUGGAAUUCCGCGUGUAGCAGUGAAAUGCGUAGAUAUGCGGAGGAACACCGAUGGCGAAGGCAAUCCCCUGGACCUGUACUGACGCUCAUGCACGAAAGCGUGGGGAGCAAAC